GGAGAGGUGUCCGAGAGGCUGAAGGAGCACGCUUGGAAAGCGUGUGUCCCGUUAGAAGCGGGACCGUGGGUUCGAAUCCCACCCUCUCCG
rnacentral:tRNA from 1 species